GAUGUGGAGCGAUAGCUCUUGUGGGGACCAUCUGCCCUGUGCUACGGCCACUUAUAGGUGCACCUCCCACCCCAGAAUAGAGGUAUCGCAUGAAGAUUUUUGAAGACUCUUCACUGUCACCUCUUGAGAGAUUUGGUGCUUUACUUAAAGCCUCCGCUCCUGGAGACAAUUGGUUACAGGUUUUCAUGGCAGCAGGAACAGAGUGUCCUGGGGCAACUAUCUUUUGAGCUGAAGAGCUAUAUUCCAGUGGUUGCAUAGGACUUUCUAUCUACAAUAAAUAUUAGAG